UACGAAGGGUGCAAACGUUGCUCGGAAUUACUGGGCGUAAAGCGCGUGUAGGCGGCCCUGCAAGUCGGGUGUGAAAUCCCACGGCUCAACCGUGGAAGUGCACUCGAAACUGCAGGGCUAGAGUCCUGGAGAGGAAGGUGGAAUGCUUGGUGUAGAGGUGAAAUUCGUAGAUAUCAAGCGGAACACCGGUGGCGAAGGCGGCCUUCUGGACAGUGACUGA
rnacentral:rRNA from 1 species